GUCCGUAGCCGGUCUGGUACAUUCGUGGGUAAAUCAACUCGCUUAACGAGUUGAAUUCUGCGAGGACGGCCAGACUUGGGACCGGGAGAGGUGUGGGGUACUCUCAGGGUAGGGGUAAAAUCCUGUCAUCCUGAGAGGACCACCUGUUGCGAAGGCUCCACACUAGAACGGAUCCGACGGUCAGGGACGAAGCCUAGGGGCACGAACCGGAUUAGAUACCCGGGUAGUCCUAGGUGUAAACGCUGUGGACUUGNUGUUGGGGACGCUCCCAGAGNGNUCUCAGUGNCGNAGCGAAGGUGAUAAGUCCACUGCCUGGGGAGUACGGUCGCAAGGCUGAAACUUAAAGGAAUUGGCGGGGGANCACCGCAACCUGAGGAUUGUGCGGUUUAAUUGGAUUCAACGCCGGAAAACUCACCAGUGACCGACGGACANAUGAAAGCCAGUGUAANGAGCUUGCUGGAUUGUUCGAGAGGUANUGCAUGGCCGCCGUCAGUUCGUACCGNAAGGCGUUCUGUUAAGUCAGAUAACGAACGAGACCCUCAUCCCUAUUUGCCAAGGUCUGUCCGCAGAUCACGGGACUAUAGGGAGACCGCUGGCGCGAAGUCAGAGGAAGGCGAGGGCAACGGUAGGUCAGUAUGAUCCGAAUGUCAUGGGCUACACGCGCAAUACAAAGGACGGGACAAUGGGCUGCUACUCCGAGAGGAAGAAGCUAUCCCGAAACCCGUUCGUAGUUCGGAUUGGGGGCUGUAACCCGCCCCCAUGAAGCUGGAUUAGGUAGUAAUCGCGUCUCAAAAAGGCGCGGUGAAUAUGCCCCUGCUCCUUGCACACACCGCCCGUCAAACCAUCUUAGUUGUGGGUGGGUGAGGCUACCUUGAUAAUGGGGUAUUCGAGCCUGCCUUCGACAAGGAGGGUUAAGUCGUAACAAGGUAUCUGUAGGGGAACCUGCAGAUG
rnacentral:rRNA from 1 species